rnacentral:tRNA from 1 species
GGGGUUGUGGCUCAGCGUUAGAGCGCUUGCCUAACAUGUGAGAGGCUUGCCUAACAUGUGAGAGGCCCUGGGUUCGAUCCUCAGCACCACA